AACGGUGAAGCCCAGCUUGCUGGGUGGAUCAGUGGCGAACGGGUGAGUAACACGUGAGCAACCUGCCCCUGACUCUGGGAUAAGCGCUGGAAACGGUGUCUAAUACUGGAUAUGAGCUACCACCGCAUGGUGAGUGGUUGGAAAGAUUUUUCGGUUGGGGAUGGGCUCGCGGCCUAUCAGCUUGUAAAUGAGGUAAUGGCUCACCAAGGCGUCGACGGGUAGCCGGCCUGAGAGGGUGACCGGCCACACUGGGACUGAGACACGGCCCAGACUGCGCCCGGGAGGCAGCAGUGGGGAAUAUUGCACAAUGGGCGGAAGCCUGAUGCAGCAACGCCGCGUGAGGGACGACGGCCUUCGGGUUGUAAACCUCUUUUAGCAGGGAAGAAGCGAGAGUGACGGUACCUGCAGAAAAAGCGCCGGCUAACUACGUGCCAGCAGCCGCGGUAAUACGUAGGGCGCAAGCGUUAUCCGGAAUUAUUGGGCGUAAAGAGCUCGUAGGCGGUUUGUCGCGUCUGCUGUGAAAACCCGAGGCUCAACCUCGGGCCUGCAGUGGGUACCCGCAGACUAGAGUGCGGUAGGGGAGAUUGGAAUUCCUGGUGUAGCGGUGGAAUGCGCAGAUAUCAGGAGGAACACCGAUGGCGAAGGCAGAUCUCUGGGCCGUAACUGACGCUGAGGAGCGAAAGGGUGGGGAGCAAACAGGCUUAGAUACCCUGGUAGUCCACCCCGUAAACGUUGGGAACUAGUUGUGGGGUCCUUUCCACGGAUUCCGUGACGCACGUAACGCAUUAAGUUCCCCGCCUGGGGAGUACGGCCGCAAGGCUAAAACUCAAAGGAAUUGACGGGGACCCGCACAAGCGGCGGAGCAUGCGGAUUAAUUCGAUGCAACGCGA
rnacentral:rRNA from 1 species